AUUAAAUUCUUCUUUAAUAUAUUUGCAAUUUUAUCAUUAAAAAAUAUGUACAAAUAAAUAAAACAAAAAUACAAGCACACACAUUCACUAUUUUCAUUUCUUUUCUUUUUCUUUUCUCUUUUCUUUUACAUCCACAAUGCAAAUACAAAUACAAAUACAAAUUCAAAAUAAAUAAAUAAAAAUACACCAACACACACAUCCCCUUUUUUUUUAUUAUUAUUUUCUUUUCUUUUCCUUUUUUUUUUCUUUUACAUUCACAUAUUACAAAUUUAAAAUAAAUAAACAAAAAUUACAUUAAAACUUUAAAAUUUACAAAAUGGUCCCUCAAAACUCCCGAAAUUGCAGGGAAGGACUUCUGCACCCGCAUGAACAGUUCCGGCGCGUCUCCCCACGCGCCACCGUCACUGGCGGCGCGUGGGUUCACGCGCUACCGGAAAAAAAACCACAGCAGGGGGCUUGAUCGACUUCUUCUUCUACUUUAAAAUUUGUUUGUUUCAUUUCUUAGAUCUGUUUUUUUUUUUGCAGAUCUGCGUCUGGUUGCAGAUCCGGUGAUGCCCAGCUGCGGUGGUGGGUGUCUUCUCCUCCUCCGUUUCAGGUGGUGAAGGCAGGUCUGACGGCGGCUGUGUUGCUGCUGGUGUUCGGCGAGCCGGUCGCUGCUACUGGAGGCCGAAUGAAGGGGGGGACUUGCGUUGCGAGAGGGUGGCCGGCUUCGGUGAAG
rnacentral:lncRNA from 1 species